UGAGGGAUGACGGCCUUCGGGUUGUAAACCUCUUUUAGUAGGGAAGAAGCGAAAGUGACGGUACCUGCAGAAAAAGCACCGGCUAACUACGUGCCAGCAGCCGCGGUAAUACGUAGGGUGCAAGCGUUGUCCGGAAUUAUUGGGCGUAAAGAGCUCGUAGGCGGUUUGUCGCGUCUGCUGUGAAAUCUGGGGGCUCAACCCCCAGCCUGCAGUGGGUACGGGCAGACUAGAGUGCGGUAGGGGAGAUUGGAAUUCCUGGUGUAGCGGUGGAAUGCGCAGAUAUCAGGAGGAACACCGAUGGCGAAGGCAGAUCUCUGGGCCGUAACUGACGCUGAGGAGCGAAAGCAUGGGGAGCGAACAGGAUUAGAUACCCUGGUAGUCCAUGCCGUAAACGUUGGGAACUAGAUGUGGGGGCCAUUCCACGGUCUCCGUGUCGCAGCUAACGCAUUAAGUUCCCCGCCUGGGGAGUACGGCCGCAAGGCUAAAACUCAAAGGAAUUGACGGGGGCCCGCACAAGCGGCGGAGCAUGCGGAUUAAUUCGAUGCAACGCGAAGAACCUUACCAAGGCUUGACAUAUACCGGAAACGUCCAGAGAUGGUCGCCCCGCAAGGUCGGUAUACAGGUGGUGCAUGGUUGUCGUCAGCUCGUGUCGUGAGAUGUUGGGUUAAGUCCCGCAACGAGCGCAACCCUCGUUCUAUGUUGCCAGCACGUUAUGGUGGGAACUCAUAGGAGACUGCCGGGGUCAACUCGGAGGAAGGUGGGGAUGACGUCAAAUCAUCAUGCCCCUUAUGUCUUGGGCUUCACGCAUGCUACAAUGGCCGGUACAAAGGGCUGCGAUACCGUAAGGUGGAGCGAAUCCCAAAAAGCCGGUCUCAGUUCGGAUUGAGGUCUGCAACUCGACCUCAUGAAGUCGGAGUCGCUAGUAAUCGCAGAUCAGCAACGCUGCGGUGAAUACGUUCCCGGGCCUUGUACACACCGCCCGUCAAGUCAUGAAAGUCGGUAACACCCGAAGCC
rnacentral:rRNA from 1 species